rnacentral:rRNA from 1 species
GAUAACAGGCUAAUCUUCCCCAAGAGAUCACAUCGACGGGAAGGUUUGGCACCUCGAUGUCGGCUCAUCGCAUCCUGGAGCUGAAGUCGGUUCCAAGGGUUGGGCUGUUCGCCCAUUAAAGCGGUACGCGAGCUGGGUUCAGAACGUCGUGAGACAGUUCGGUCCCUAUCUGAUGUGGGCGUUGGAAUAUUGAUAAGAGCUGCUCCUAGUACGAGAGGACCGGAGUGGACACAUCACUGGUGUUUCUGUUGUCGUGCCAACGGCAUAGCAGAGUAGCCAAAUGUGGAAAGGAUAACCGCUGAAAGCAUCUAAGCGGGAAGCCUCCUUAGAGAUGAGUAUUCCCUUGAAAUUCCUUGUAGACUACGAGGUUGAUAGGCUGGAGCUGUACGUGUAGCGAUACAUUUAGGUGACCAGUACUAAUAAAUUGAACGGUUUAAUAAG